AGAGUUUGAUCCUGGCUCAGAACGUACGCUGGCGGCACGCCUAACACAUGCAAGUCGAACGAAGUAGCAAUACUUAGUGGCAGACGGGUGAGUAACAUGUGGGUAUCUGCCCUUUGGCCUGGAAUAACACGAGGAAACUUGUGCUAAUACCGGAUAAGUCUUUACGGAGAAAGCUUUAUGCACCAUUGGAUGAGCCUGCACUUGAUUAGUUUGUUGGUGGGGUAAUGGCCUACCAAGACUGUGAUCAAUAGCUGAUUUGAGAGGAUGAUCAGCCACAUUGGGACUGAGACACGGCCCAAACUCCUACGGGAGGCAGCAGUGGGGAAUCUUGCACAAUGGAGGAAACUCUGAUGCAGCGAUGCCGCGUGAGUGAAGAAGGCCCUUGGGUUGUAAAGCUCUUUCGUCGGGGAAGAAAAUGACUGUACCCGAAUAAGAAGGUCCGGCUAACUUCGUGCCAGCAGCCGCGGUAAUA
rnacentral:rRNA from 1 species